UUUCUGUGUAAUAUCUUCAUGUUAAAGUCAUCUAAAUACUAGAAAAUAGGACAAUAAAAUAAAAACCACUUAAACACGAUUUAGUGUCUAAUUAUCAGUCUUAUAAGUCCUAAAUAGUUUAAGUUAAAAUUCUCAGUCUUUUUAAUGAUCAGGUGAGGUAAAAAUAUUUUACCAGAAAAUAUCUAGCUACUAGCAUAGAAAAUUGUUAUAUGAAAAUUUAAAUUGUCAGUUACCGAAAUAAAAUAAUAUGUAAUGGUUGGAUUCAAAAACUGACAAUUUUAAAUCUAACUGUUGUAGGAAAAAUAAUUUGUCUAUUAUUAAUUGUAUCAGUAUCAUGUUUACUGAUUAUCGUAUAAUGGCAAAAACUGGCAGCUAUGUUUGCGCAGAAUCUGCUUUGAACUAGAAAAUUGCUAUAAUACAUGCAUACAUAUAAAUAUACUUACUUAAAUUUUAGUGUUUCUGGCACAAUACUAUAAACUAUAUUAGUUAACAAUUUGACAAAACAAUUGAAUCUG